ensembl:snRNA U1 U1 spliceosomal RNA
AUGCUUGCCUGGCAGGGCAGACAUCACAAUGGCGAAGGUGGCUUUCCCAGGGCAAGGCUCAUCCAUCGCACUCCAGAGAUGCUGGCGCCUGUGAUGUCUCCAAAUGUGGGAAACUGGGCUUCACAAUUUGUGGUAGUGGGGGACAGUGUUGGCACUUUACCCUG